ensembl:lncRNA
GAGCUCUGCUGGUUGCUGGGAUGAUUUGCUGUAGGGCAAGACCUUCAGGUACUUCAUGGGAGGAGAGGCUCCAGGAGGAGAGCCUGUGCCCCGCUGCGGUGCCUUGCAGCUCCUGUGUGAGGAUGAACCAGAAGGGAAGAUCCCAGACUGGCUCUUCAGGAUCUGGUUCCUGGGCUGUCCCUUCAUCUUCUGUCAUGCUGAGGAGCAGUAAAGAAGUCUGAGGACUGGACCUGAUCAGCAAGAGCAGGAGUCCUAUGGAAUGGCUCCCAUCAGUGUGCAGGGAGGAUGCUCUGGACCAGCAACAGCCAACAGAACCCCUGAGUGUUCAUCCUCCAGAAGUCAACGCAGCUCCUGCCUCCUUCAACCCUACAGCGAGUCCACGCCAUCUCAACCUCGGAGACCCAGGGCCAUUUAGGAUGCCCCAGCAGUCUGCUCCAGCCCCAAACCUGUCGCCCUGCAUUUAAACAACCCC